rfam:Camelus ferus unplaced genomic scaffold scaffold1783, whole genome shotgun sequence.
GGAGGAUACAGCUCAAGAUAGAGCACAUGCUUAGCAUGCACAAGGUCUUGGGUUCAAUCCCCAGUACCUCCA